UCUUUUAAAUAUAUAUUAGAUUAAACAUGUGCAUUAGUUAUAAAAUUCUUUUAAUUAUUUAUUGUGACUAUUUUAUUCAGAUAAUAUUAUUUCAGCAAAAGUCUGUAUAAGAGAUACAGAGCUGCGAUUUAAUAUUCAAUCAUGAAUCAAACCAAUAAUUAAAUUAUUGGUUUAGCUACACGUUUGAGACCUUGCAUUACCAGUUGAUUGAUUUAAUCAAUAGUAUUAGAAAUUUUAGAUUUAUAACCGAUUUCAUAAAUCGUGUUAUUUAAAUCGAAUUGCUAGAAUUAUAACUCGAGUUUAUGUUAAUAAUAAUUUUAUUAUUUCACGCUUUAUAUGUUUAGUACUAAGUCGCGAAUUAAUUUCGACUUUCACGUAUUAAAUCUCAAGAUUGAGGAUUUAAUUUAUAUAAAUACGACGAGUAUUUAUUAAACGAGAAUUGGAGAAUUAUUACAGGAACUAGGAGAAACUAGAUCACGGCACUACACGUAUGUCUCGAUUUUUCAUCCAACACAUCAAUUCCUACACUAUUCCCUUGUUAGUCAAAAUGUUGGUGCUAACAAUUUGUCAAAAAAAAGUUGGUGGUUUGCAGAAAAUUUUGGCUGCUUUGGACUUUCACGUAUUCCAGUUUUGCUACAUGAUUUUUUCAACCUUUGCUACAGUAACACUAUUCCAGUUUUGCCUAUAAAUUGCUAGGAUUCGCAGCAGUUUAAAAACACACCAAAGCAGAAAAUACUUCUUUCUGUUAGAGAGAGCAAGAGUAAGUUGAAGUAAAAUCUCAAAUACGAGAGUUUGAGGGUUUGAGACAAAAGCUUAGUUAGAAGCUUUUGGUGUGAGAAAAUUAGAUAGAAAUUUUCUCGGGGUAUAACGGGUUGUGAGUUGAGUGUUGUGAGUGUUGUAAACACUGUAUUUUUUUUUUCUCCCUUUGUUAAAUAGAAGUGCAGCAAGAGGUGUGAGGCAAGAGAGAGUUUAGAAGAAUUUUUUUUUAAAUUUCUUACUUGCAAGAGCUCAAGUGAGCUCCCUUCGCCGGGCUGUUUCUUCGCCGACCGGCCACUAGGCUCUGAACCGAGAACGUGUACUCGUUCCUCCAUCUUCAGGCUACCAAACCCAACAAUCGAAAUGCCGAAGCCUUCUCUAUAUUUUCCUGACCAAAGGCCGCAAUAUCCUUCGGCGGCCAACGUCGAAUUCCCGACUUAGCCACCGGCCAACUUACGGCCUUCGUUUCUCACUAUCCUUACGACGAAAAAGGAUCGAGAAACCACCGUUGUGUAGCCUGAUCUACCUCGCACGAGGAAAACUAAGUAGUAGACCUUCGCGGCUAAACACCAUCGCGGAACGACGACCGGAAAACCCCCGACGGACAACUUCCAUUAGUGCUCACUUGGACAAGGGUUCAAAUAAACAAAAGCGUCUGAGUAACCUAUCGCGCUAAGGAAAGAGAAUCAUUGUCUUAAGUAGCAAAACACUGCAAUCAGGUUGAGCUGAUGUGAUGAUGGUGCUGAAAUGAGCGGAGUCUCCAGGGUUGUUAAUAAAUAGUUAACCUGUCUAGAAUAUGUCUUCAUACAUAUGUCUAGCUACUUUCCGCUGCAAGAUGUUGUUGAUGUUAUAGUAUGUUAUGUCAUACUUUGAGUCUUAAGAGAAUGGUUUCAUAUGAUGUAUAACUUGAUUAAUGAUAUUAAUUAAGUUUUAUGCUGUCUUUCAUAGACUAUUUUUCAAUUGAGUAUUCAUGAAUAAAAAUGACGAGUUUUAUUAAGAUGAGUAAGUUUUACGGCUAUAAAUGACGCCCCUUUUCUUCCCCUUCUUCUUUAACCCCAUCCCUAGUCGUAGAUCACUCGGCUUAACUAUCCUUAGUUAGGGCGGGCUGUGACAAAGUGGUAUCAGAGCGAAGGAAAGCUCUGAAUUAUAAGUCUUGAGUUUAGUCUAGAAUGAGUCACUAGACUAAUAGUUAUUAACAACCGUGAGCUCAGCGCACCAUCACACCAGACUCAACGAGGUAUGUAAAAUUUCAAAGUUUAUUUGACAUUAAAUUUUGAAGAGCAUGAUGUUGAGGUUAUAUGAUGAGUUAUGAUGUUACACUUUGAAGGUGCAUAGUUUGAGUUUGAGGAUGACAACAUGAUUAAUAAUGAGUUAUUAUGUUGUAAGAGCAUAUGUUGACGUUACAUGAUGAAUCAUGAGAGCGUUUAUAUCAUAUGAUGUUAUAUGAUUGAGGAUGCAUAAUUAUGAGUUAUGAUGUGAUGUAUUUGAGAUGUUUUGUGAUGAGAAUUGUUUGAGCAAUUGUGAUAAGUCACGAUGAUUUAGAUGAAGGAAUCUAAUGUCAUUGUUAAGAGAGAUUUUUUUCUAAGUAGAAGGAUGAAAUGAGAACUUAGAGCUAAAGCUUGAGAGAAUUAGCAAUUGCUUUAAGUACUUGUUGGUUUGAGUUAUGAGUUUGAGUUAUGAGCUUGAGUAUAAUAGCAUGAUUAAUGAUGAGUUAUUAGCAUGCUGCAAU